rnacentral:lncRNA from 1 species
GUGGAUACUAGCCUUGAUGCACCCACUAACUAGAUGUGUGACAAGCCACUUUACGUCUUCAGGACUGGCUUUUAUUUUCUUUAAGAGAAUUGAACCAAAUAUAGAUAUGGUACUUGAACAUUCUACAAUUUCCAGUGUGAAUAUACUUAGUUAAGACAAAGCUAUUUGCACUCACUACUAUGUACUGUAGACAAGAUGGUGUGAUAUGUGCCAACAUAUAGUAUGUCUAGGAGUUCAAGGAAGUCUAAUUUGGGAAAAGUUUGUUCUGUCCUAAAAGAAACUGAGACCUAAAUUUAUCUAAGUGUCAUCCUGUGAUCAGCAAUGCAUUCAGCGGCACUUGCAUAACCAUUGCCUCCGGCAGGACUGCACCAAAAUAGCAGAAGGAAAAGAAGGAAGAGGCAAUGUCACACUUCUGCUAAGAAGAGAGUUAUGGCAAGUACAAGUUGCUGAGAAAGAAGCAAACUGCUCAUUUGGAUGAAGGAAAUUAAUUCUUUGAAGCCAUCAAAGAUUCCUGCAGCUUUGAGAAUAGUUUGGUAAGUGGAUCUCAAUCCCCAGAAAACUCUUUGGUAAAAGAACAAGUGCCCAUCUUUUAGAUCAUGUGCUUAGCUUCAGGGCAGAUAUGUCCUGAAGGUCUUGUGUAAACAAAACACAAGUGAAAUAAUAUUCAAUUCAAAAUGAGACAAUAGUUACAGUGAAAUAGAGAAAUACAAAGUUGGUUUUUUUACUUAUUAUUAUUUACUGACAUCAAGUUGGUUUCAUUAAUAUUUACUUAAUAUCUAUCAGAAACAAAUAUUAUUUUAAGUAAACAGUUUCUCUUAAGUUUUAGGCAAAUUGCUCUAUGAUUUCACUAACUGAAUACCAUCCAUCUUUAAGAUGCUAAAACUAUGUUACUUCUAUCCAUACAACUUUCAGUAUUAAAUAUCCUUUAUUGAAAAUAAUAAGCAAAAAUCUUUAAUACAUGCACAAACACUGACUUGUUACAGUUUCUUUUACUCAGUUUAUCCAUUUCUUCUGGGCAGAUUCUUUUGGUUUCUUGACAAUACUGUGCACUGGUGAAUCUAACUCUGCUGGAAGUGCUUAAGUGGUUUCAAAUAUGUUGGGACCAGACACAUAACUUAAUUGCCAUCCUAAUUUCCAAGGAUCUUGCUUUCAAGGAUACCUGGGAUUUUUGCUCACUUCUGUGGAAUGUGCCCUCACAAUGACCUGUGAUAAAUAGUGCACGAUUUUUAAAAAAUGAUCUAAAAUGUGGGGUGUUUUUAUAACUAUUUCUCAUUUCUUGGCUCAGGAAAUAUUAUUCUUGCCUCCUAUGGUCAUCCUGUUAUUCAUCAGCAGAUGCUACUGAUCCAACAGCUUCCCAGCUAAGAUGGAAGGAUGAGUAAGUGGUUGGAGAAGCCAUAUUUUUGUCUUUUCUACACAAAUUCACAGGGAGGAGUGUUUGCUUUCUCUUCCUCCCUUCAGGUGUGGGCUUCAAUGUUUUGGGGCUGUCUCUGGAGAAGCCUGGGAAGUUAAAAUGCCUUAAAAGCAAGAUGUCCAAAAGCCAUAGGGGAUACAUAUUAUCAACUGCAGGAUGAAAAAUGCUUUUGCAAACCUGCAGCAGUUAAGGAUACAAAAUGAUCUAGGACUUCGAAAUAAUACAGCUAAAUCAACAAGCAAAUGUUAUUCUUAGUGUCUGGCAAUUACAGUAAGGCUUUUUUUUCAUUGUUUAACCACAUUGUUUAAUCAAUUUUCAUUGUUUAAUUGCAUUGUUU